AUAUGUUAAUAGCAUAUUCAUUUGACGUUAGCUGCAGAAGAAGCACCGGCUAACUCCGUGCCAGCAGCCGCGGUAAUACGGAGGGUGCGAGCGUUAAUCGGAAUUACUGGGCGUAAAGCGCAUGCAGGUGGUUUGUUAAGUCAGAUGUGAAAGCCCGGGGCUCAACCUCGGAAUUGCAUUUAGAAACUGGCAAACUAGAGUACUGUAGAGGGGGUAGAAUUUCAGGUGUAGCGGUGAAAUGCGUAGAGAUCUGAAGGAAUACCGGUGGCGAAGGCGGCCCCCUGGACAGAUACUGACACUCAGAUGCGAAAGCGUGGGGAGCAAACAGGAUUAGAUACCCUGGUAG
rnacentral:rRNA from 1 species